AGACGAGGAUAACAACCGGAAACAGUUGCUAAGACUGGAUAGGAAAUAAAAAGGCAUCUUUUUAUUUUUAAAAGACCUUUUUCGGAAGGUAUGCUUAAAGAUGAGCUUGCGCCACAUUAGUUUGUUGGUGGGGUAAUGGCCUACCAAGACGAUGAUGUGUAGCUGGACUGAGAGGUCGAACAGCCACAUUGGGACUGAGACACGGCCCAAACUCCUACGGGAGGCAGCAGUAGGGAAUUUUCGGCAAUGGAGGAAACUCUGACCGAGCAACGCCGCGUGAACGAUGAAGUAUAUCGGUAUGUAAAGUUCUUUUAUUGAAGAAGAAAAAAUAGUGGAAAAACUAUCUUGACGUUAUUCAAUGAAUAAGCCCCGGCUAACUAUGUGCCAGCAGCCGCGGUAAGACAUAGGGGGCGAGCGUUAUCCGGAAUUAUUGGGCGUAAAGGGUGCGUAGGCGGUUAGGAAAGUCUAUAAUUUAAUUUCAGUGCUUAACGCUGUCUUGUUAUAGAAACUACCUUGACUAGAGUUAGAUAGAGGCAAGCGGAAUUCCAUGUGUAGCGGUAAAAUGUGUAAAUAUAUGGAGGAACACCAGAAGCGUAGGCGGCUUGCUGGGUCUUGACUGACGCUGAGGCACGAAAGCGUGGGUAGCAAACAGGAUUAGAUACCCUUGUAGUCCACGCCGUAAACGAUGAGUACUAAGUGUCGGGAUAAAACUCGGUACUGAAGUUAACACAUUAAGUACUCCGCCUGAGUAGUACGUACGCAAGUAUGAAACUUAAGGAAUUGACGGGACUCCGCACAAGCGGUGGAUCAUGUUGUUUAAUUCGAAGAUACACGAAAAAUCUUACCAGGUCUUGACAUGCUCUGCAAAGCUAUAGAAAUAUAGUGGAGGUUAUCAGGGACACAGGUGGUGCAUGGUUGUCGUCAGUUCGUGUCCUGAGAUGUUAGGUUAAGUCCUAAACGAGCGCAACCCUUGUCGUUAGUUACCAGCCGUAAUGGUGGGCACCUUAACGAACUGCCAAUUAACAUUGAAGGAAGGGAGGAUUCGUCAAAUCACUUGCCCCUUAUAUCUGGGCUACAAACGUGAUACAAAUGGCUGUUACAAAGAGUAGCUGAAGCGCGAGUUUUUAGCCAAUCUCAAAAAAGCAGUCUCAGUUCGGAUUGAAGUCUGUAACUCGACUUCAUGAAGUUGGAAUCGCUAGUAAUCGCGAAUCAGCAUGUCGCGGUGAAUACGUUCUCGGGGUUUGUACACACCACCCGUCAAACCACGAAAGUUAGCAAUACCCGAAAGCAGCGGCUUAACUUCGCAAGAAGAGGAAACUGUCUAAGGUAGGGUUGAUGAUUGGGGUUAAGUCGUAACAAGGUAUCCCUACCGGAAGGUGGGGAUGGAUCACCUCCUUUCU
rnacentral:rRNA from 1 species